UCUGUUCUGACAACACUGGCUUCUCAUCCACGGCUUAACAAGGCUGAGAUCAAUCACUAAUUCACAAACCUCCUUAUGGGCAAGUGCUUGGACUGAGAAAAAGAGCCAUGGUCUGUAAACACCAGCAAUUCCCCAGUCCCAUGAAAGAAGAUCCAGCUAUCAAUGUACAGGGGAGCUUUGAUGAAUUUCCCAAGAGCAUGGCCAGAUACUCUCCUACAGAGAAACAGCAGGCUUUAAUGGCAAGCCAGAAGGAGCUGCCUUCCUUGCCAUUAAUGCCACCUGAGGAUUGAAAACCCUAGGAGGAGCUUCAUGUCCAUCCAUCAAAGGCAACACAAAGAGAGAGACUUCAGGAGGUCAGAUGUUGAAAAACCAUGAAAAGCUCACAUUUCCCUGGAGUGCUCUGAGUUUUAUUCACCUCCUUACUCUGCACCUCCUCUCAACUGCCCUGUAUCAUGGCAACCAGCUAAUGGGACUGUGAAUUAAUAAAAAUAAGCUCUGCAACCAGAAAUAAGUGAGUAUUAGAUAUUUUCCCUCAUUUGUGACUCUCAACCUUGCAAGUCUUUUGGGUGGUUUUUCUUUUCCUGUUCCUGCCCCUUUUCUCUUGAGGUUCUACAGGGGUUGAGACCCAAGCAAA